rnacentral:RNase_P_RNA from 1 species
GAAGCUGACCAGACAGUCGCCGCUUCGUCGUCGUCCUCUUCGGGGAGACGGGCGGAGGGGAGGAAAGUCCGGGCUCCAUAGGGCAGGGUGCCAGGUAACGCCUGGGGGAAACCCACGACCAGUGCAACAGAGAGCAAACCGCCGAUGGCCCGCGCAAGCGGGAUCAGGUAAGGGUGAAAGGGUGCGGUAAGAGCGCACCGCGCGGCUGGUAACAGUCCGUGGCACGGUAAACUCCACCCGGAGCAAGGCCAAAUAGGGGUUCAUAAGGUACGGCCCGUACUGAACCCGGGUAGGCUGCUUGAGCCAGUGAGCGAUUGCUGGCCUAGAUGAAUGACUGUCCACGACAGAACCCGGCUUAUCGGUCAGUUUCACGU